rnacentral:lncRNA from 1 species
CGUGCCUACUGUUUUUAUAUUUGAGGCCAAUCUCAAAAUAAAAUUCUAAGAACGUCUCCCACUGACCCGGAAGUACAUUGGGUUAAAUGGAACAAAAUUCUUCCUAAAUGAAAAAAAAACUUUUCUACAUAAAUGAAAAACAAAAUCCUUUCUAAAUGAAAAACGCAAAAGUACGUCUUUUUUUCAACCAGCGAUUUCUUUUCGCUCACUGUCCCUUGCGGGGCUCCGUAGUUCUGUACCAUAGCGCAUGUUAACUGACGCUGAAACGUUCGCGAUGAACACCAAAAUACUUCUUCGGGGAAGUACAUGAAACAAUGAUCUCUACUCCAAGUCUGACAUCCAGACAGCAUGGCAACACAAUGAAGCAGCAUCAGUUAGACCCAGCCCCUGAAAAUUGUCUUCAUCAAACCAGCUAACUCCGCUAGGCCAUUUCACGGUACCCAGACAUGGACCCAGGCAUUGGCAUCCGGGCUCACGUGGACCUCUCGACGGUGAAGGAGGACCCUCACCACAGUAGCCCAUUGAAUAACCGGCACCGGCUGAACGUGAAGAAGCCCUGUGGUGCACAACACAGCAAUUCUCUGUGGCAUGUUCCGGAGAAGGUGACUCAGGAACAUCAGUGCUCCACCCAACAUAGAGACGCCGUCUUUGGGUCAGAAGACGCCGAAAGCCAUUUCAUCCAGGAAGAUGGGAAACUGGGCUCUGUGUCAAACCUUAAAAAAAGGUUGAUGGACAGAGAGAGGCAGCGGCGUCACCGGGAGAGGAUCCGUGCGGACCCAGAGAAGCAGCAGGCACACCGUGAGAGGGAGAGACAAAGGUACCAACGCAGGAAGAGUAUGGUCAGUGCUGUACCAGAGCAGAUGCCAUCAGAAUCCCAGAGCCAUGGCCUGAGUGACUCAGAGUAUCAGACAGAGCCAACCACGGAGGAUCACGAUCAUCCAAAGCACUAUGCCUUUCCAGACAUUUCCCAGAAUUUGGAUACGGAAACGGGCAGGAUGGCUCACAUGGACAGCAUGGUGAUGAAAUGGCCCACUCCUGAGGCAGAUGUUGUUGACUUCAGGCGGCAGAUCAAAGAGAUGAACCCGGCCAGCCGUCUGUCGCAUGUUACGGAAAAAGAGACUCAGGAACACGUAUUCUCUACCCAACACAGAGGCGCCGUGUUUGGGUCACAGGAUGUCGGCUGUUAUUUUGUACAACAAAAUGGGGAACUGUGUUCACUUUCGAGGCUUAAAAAGAGGUUGAUGGACCGAGAGCGACAGCGACGCUACAGGGAAAGGAUCCGAUCCAACCCUAUGAAGCAAUCGGACGACGAGAAGGAAAGACGAAGGUUCAUGGACAGAGAGAGGCAGCGGCGUCGCAGGGAGAGGAUGCGUUCUGAGCCUGACAAGCAGCAGGCUUAUGCAGAGCGGGAGAGACAAAGGUUGUUGGACAGAGAACGGCAACGACGGUGCAGACAGAGGCUUCAAGCGGACCCUGUGAGGUGGCAAGCUUACCUGGAGAAGGAAAGGCACAGGUCCAGAGAGGCGGCCAGGAGAAGGCGCGCAAAAAAGUCCCUGGCCAAGGCCCUAACUGGCUGGAUAUCAGAGUGGGGUCAGGACAGCCUGUGA